GACGAACGCUGGCGGCGUGCUUAACACAUACAAGUCGAACGGAAAGGCCCUGCUUUUGUGGGGUGCUCGAGUGGCGAACGGGUGAGUAACACGUGAGUAACCUGCCCUUGACUUUGGGAUAACUUCAGGAAACUGGGGCUAAUACCGGAUAGGAGCUCCUGCUGCAUGGUGGGGGUUGGAAAGUUUCGGCGGUUGGGGAUGGACUCGCGGCUUAUCAGCUUGUUGGUGGGGUAGUGGCUUACCAAGGCUUUGACGGGUAGCCGGCCUGAGAGGGUGACCGGCCACAUUGGGACUGCGAUACGGCCCAGACUCCUACGGGAGGCAGCAGUGGGGAAUAUUGCACAAUGGGCGGAAGCCUGAUGCAGCAACGCCGCGUGCGGGAUGACGGCCUUCGGGUUGUAAACCGCUUUCGCCUGUGACGAAGCGUGAGUGACGGUAAUGGGUAAAGAAGCACCGGCUAACUACGUG
rnacentral:rRNA from 1 species